rnacentral:rRNA from 1 species
AGGGAUGAAGGCCUCCGGGUUGUAAACCUCUUUCAGUAGGGAAGAAGCGACUGGGUUCUCUCAGACGUGACGGUACCUGCAGAAGAAGCGCCGGCUAACUACGUGCCAGCAGCCGCGGUAAUACGUAGGGCGCAAGCGUUGUCCGGAAUUAUUGGGCGUAAAGAGCUCGUAGGCGGUUUGUCGCGUCUGGUGUGAAAACUCAAGGCUCAACCUUGAGCUUGCAUCGGGUACGGGCAGACUAGAGUGUGGUAGGGGUGACUGGAAUUCCUGGUGUAGCGGUGGAAUGCGCAGAUAUCAGGAGGAANNNNNAUGGCGAAGGCAGGUCACNNNNNNNNNUACUGACGCUGAGGAGCGAAAGCAUGGGGAGCGAACAGGAUUAGAUACCCUGGUAGUCCAUGCCGUAAACGUUGGGCACUAGGUGUGGGGCUCAUUCCACGAGUUCCGCGCCGCAGCUAACGCAUUAAGUGCCCCGCCUGGGGAGUACGGCCGCAAGGCUAAAACUCAAAGGAAUUGACGGGGGCCCGCACAAGCGGCGGAGCAUGCGGAUUAAUUCGAUGCAACGCGAAGAACCUUACCAAGGCUUGACAUACACCGGAAUCGGCCAGAGAUGGUCGCGUCUUCGGACUGGUGUACAGGUGGUGCAUGGUUGUCGUCAGCUCGUGUCGUGAGAUGUUGGGUUAAGUCCCGCAACGAGCGCAACCCUCGUCCUAUGUUGCCAGCACGUCAUGGUGGGGACUCAUAGGAGACUGCCGGGGUCAACUCGGAGGAAGGCGGNGACGACG